AGUGAACGCUGGCGGCAGGCCUAACACAUGCAAGUCGAACGGCAGCACAAGAGAGCUUGCUCUCUGGGUGGCGAGUGGCGGACGGGUGAGGAAUGCAUCGGAAUCUGCCCAUUUGUGGGGGAUAACCUCGGGAAACCGGGACUAAUACCGCAUACGACCUACGGGUGAAAGCAGGGGAUCUUCGGACCUUGCGCAGAUGGAUGAGCCGAUGCCGGAUUAGCUAGUUGGAGGGGUAAAGGCCCACCAAGGCGACGAUCCGUAGCUGGUCUGAGAGGAUGAUCAGCCACACUGGGACUGAGACACGGCCCAGACUCCUACGGGAGGCAGCAGUGGGGAAUAUUGGACAAUGGGCGCAGGCCUGAUCCAGCCAUGCCGCGUGUGUGAAGAAGGCCUUCGGGUUGUAAAGCACUUUUGUUGGGAAAGAAAAGCAGCCGGUUAAUACCCGGUUGUCAUGACGGUACCCAAAGAAUAAGCACCGGCUAACUUCGUG
rnacentral:rRNA from 1 species